rnacentral:lncRNA from 1 species
AGACAAACUUAUGGUUACCAAAGGGGAAACAUGGGAAGAGGGAUACAUUAGGAGGGUGGGAUUAACAUAUAUACACUACUGUAUAUAAAUAGAUAAACCAAAAAGACCUGCUGUAUAUCACAGGAAGAUUUACUCAGUACUAUGUAAUAACCUUACAUGGGAAAAUAAUCUGAAAAAGAAUAUAUGUACAUAUAUGUAUAUUUAUAACUAAAUUACUUUAUACCUGAAACCAACACAGCACUGUAAGUCAACUAUACUCUAAUAACAUUUAAAAAAAAGAAGUCAGAGAGGAGAAGAUGCCCAUAUAUAUUGCUUGAGAAGAUGUAUUCUCUACUCUCAGUGCAGUGUGAGGGCAGGUAAGUGUUUAAAGGGGUUGAUGUGAGCUGAUUUAAAUUUAUUGCUUCAAGGAACAAGUAUUCCCCAAGUGCCUACUAUGUGUGCAACACUGUUCUGGGCACAGAACACACAGAAAGGAUUAACACUGACAAAACACUGUCCUCGUACAGCUUGUAAUGCAGUGCAGUGUUCAGUAGGUCAGAGAAAUCUUUAACAGUGUAAGUGACAUGGAAGCAAGGAUCUGAAGAGCAUGAGAUCUAGUGGUGGGGGAUGGAGGAUGUAGAAGCCCUGGGAGUCCAUAUCAGCUGGGUGGAACCAUUCCAGCUGCCUUGACCCUGGACUGUGCAGCACAGAGGGCUCUGUGUGUGUGUGCACACGUGUGUACAUACCUGCAUUCACAUAGAUGUAUGCAUGCACACAGGUGAUGUACAGUAAUUUAAGUGAUGGACAUGAAGAAACUAGGCUGCAUAGAUACUGUAGGGUGAGGAGAGAAAGAGAUAAAGGCAAGAUUUUAUGGCUGAAUGGAGAAGGAUGAAGUGGUUCUGAAGAUGGAGAAAAAAGUCAUGGGUAUGUUCUAUGAAUUCAAGGAAAAAGAAGUUAGUAGUUUCAUCAAGCUGGCAGGUGAGGAUAAGAAUUUCAAUACAUUUUGGGUUUAGUGACUUGAGGGUUACUAAAUCCAGUAUAGGUAGAUUAAUGGAAGCCAAGUGCAUUAGAGGAAUAAACAAGAUGUGGAAAAUGUGAGGGUAGCUACAUUUUUGAAAACCUUUCAAAGAUAUGAAGAGAGGAGAAUAAUAUAAUAUCUGAAACAGAUUAUUGAAUUAAGGAAGUUUUUGCUUGUUUUCCUUUUUUUGUUCUUUUUUUUUGGGGGGACAUGCCCACAGCAUGUGGAAUUCCUAGGCCAGGAGUCAAACCCAUGCCACAGCAGUGACCUUAGCUGCUGCAGUGACAACGCUGGAUCCUUAACCCACUGUAUGGCAGGAGAACUCCUUGUUUGUUUUUAAUGGGAAAGACUGUUAUAUUUAGAAGUUGAUGUGACCCAAUUAAGGAGAUGUUGAAUAUGCAAAUGAGAGAAGGGAAAUUAAUAAUAGUUUAGUGGGUAAUUCAGGCCUGGCAAAUAUUAUUAUAAAUUUUUGUGGAGGCACAACUAUGGAGGCAGUGUCUCUCCAAUAAUCAUCACAGUAAUCAAUUCAUUUAUUUUUACUGCUUUAAAUGUAUUAUCCAGUAUCAGUUAAUAAUCUCAAUUUAACUAAUGAUGUUGCUUUUUAAGGAAAAGAGACAAUGCCUUGCCUUUUUCUUUCUCUUAGUUGAGUAUUUGUCUUCAAUAAUUCACUGCCUCAAUCCUCACCAAAGAUAAAUGAACUCUACAUGUUACCUACCUUUACCAUGCAUGACCGUUUAUAAAUAGCUACAUUUUGGUGCUAAUGUUAAGUAUGCGAGUGGGUUUUAAUAAACCAUACUCCCUUUCUUGCUUCUGUGUUAUCAACUUUAUGUCAAAAGACAAGGAAAAAUUAUCUGAACAUUGUUUAGUAUAAUCAUCAUUAAUUAGUUAAUAAUACUUAUCCAGAGGGGUUUUAACCUUUUUCUCCCCCAAGGGUUAUUCUAAUGUCAGAGUAGAAUAAAAAAGAUCUAGAGUGACCCUCCCCUCUUCCAAAGGUAACAUUUAUCAUAAGUCAGUUAGCUCUCUACCAGAAGUAAGGAGGUGAACAACUGUUUGUGGUAGUCAGUGCAGCAGAAGCGGAAGAGGAACCCAGCUUCCAGCCCAUCCUUCCUCAUUCCUCUUUUAUAACCUAACAUUGUUGAUGUGAUUAAUGACCCAUCUUUCUUUACUUUCUGGUUCUUUUCUUGGAACUCUUUGUUGAUAAUGCUGCUACUAUGUUUAGAUUAAGGGUAAAUAAGCCUUAUCUUUUAUCACAUUUUUAUGAUUUUCAGAGUAGUAUUUACUUUUAACAGUGGAUUCUAAGUUACCUCCUCCUCCUUUCCCCUUUGGUAACCUUGUUUGCUUCCUAUUUUGUGAGCCCAUUUCUGUCAUUUUUUUUUUUUUAGAUUAGAAGUUUUGGAUUACAAAUACACACUACUGUAUAUAAAAUAGGUAAACAACAAGGACCCACUGUAUAGCACAAGGAACAGUAUAUCUUUUAAUAACUUAUAUGGGAAAAAACCUGAAAAAGUCAUGGAAUAUAUGACUGAAUCAUUUUGUUGUACAUAUGACAUGAAUACAACAUUGUAAAUUAACUACACUUAAAUUAAUAAAAGCCAUGUGUUUUGCAGAGAAUUAAUAAAUCCCAGCCCAACAGUGACAUUUCAAACCUAAUUAACACUAGCACUCUUUACUUACACAAAUAAUCAUGGACACCAGGGGAUUUGAGAAUGGUCUUCUCACAUCUAAUAUAACUUUCAAAUUGAUUUUCCUUUUAAUAUUUCCUUCCCUGGCUGAUCCAUAUGAAUCCCUUUUAUUAAGAAAAAUAAUCAGGAUUCACUAAAAAGCUGAAUAGCAGCUUGUUAAUCAUUCAGGGAAGUGUUGCAGGCUUAAGCAAUUUUAUAUGUAGAUACUGAACCCACUAUAUUGUUAUAAGCAAACUCUGAAAUACAGAUAAGCCCAGAUGACUCAUUCUCAUGAACUGGAAUGAUGGUUAAGCUGCAUGUGCUCAAAAAUUAUGAUUUUCUACCCACUUGCAAACCAACAAGGAAAAGCUCUGGAGAAAAUAGAACCUAAGGAAAUACAACUUAUUUGUUUCAGUAGAAGAUAAUUUACCACCACUGUCUAGUUAGUUUUAUAUUAGGUAAAUUUAGCUUUGUGAUUUAUUGCCUAAGACAUUUUCUUCCUUCCUGUAAAGCCUCAUGCCAAAAAUGUGAUUUUUGAGGGUUGAUGGCCUCUUAAAAAUUACCUGCAAUUCUGGAAGCUUGAGCGGAAUAUUGAUUUUUUUUAUUCAUCUUUUAAGAAAAUUUUUAUGUAUUACUUUUUCAAAAAACUUUGGACUCGGAGUUCCCGUCGUGGCGCAGUGGUUAACGAAUCCGACUAGGAACCAUGAGGUUGCGGGUUCGGUCCCUGCCCUUGCUCAGUGGGAUAAUGAUCCGGCGUUGCCGUGAGCUGUGGUGUAGGUUGCAGACGCAGCUCGGAUCCAGUGUUGCUGUGGCUCUGGCGUAGGCCGGUGGCUACAGCUCAGAUUCGACCCCUAACCUGGGAACCUCCAUAUGCCGCGGGAGCGGCCCAAAGAAAUAGCAACAACAGCAACAACAACAUCAACAACAACAACAGACAAAAAAAGACAAAGACAAAAAAAAAAAAAAAAAAGCAAAAAACUUUGGACUCUGUCUCAUUUGCCUGUUUUCUUCUUUCUUGUUGUGAUUUUAGGGAUUUGGUUGCUACUAUGAAUAAGCUAUCUUCAAAAAUUAUCUGAUUGAAAACACCACCAAUGGAGUUGUAUUAAAUUUUAAUACUAUGACUAGUGAAACAUACACAUUUGUCUUACUGAGAUUAUUCUGCUGUCACUAGAGUUAUAAUAAUAGUUCUGUUUACCAUCAAUAACUUGAAUAUUUUCUGAGGUUUUGUACAUAUUGGAAGUUAAUUUUCUUUCUUAGGGAGACAUAUUAUAUCCUAUAGCCAAACAAAUGAGUAUUAUAUUUUAGCGUAGAUUGCUUACCACUUGCUGGUUUUUCUUUAUUAAGAAUUUUAUGGAAAUGUUAACUUGAGGUAGGGUCAGGAUGGCAGAUAGGAAGACCCUGAGCUCCCCUCUUCCCAUGAACACCCCAAAAUGGCAACUCCAUGUAGAAAAACUCUUCCAAGAAUCCAAUUGAAGACUAGCAGAAUGGCUUGUCUAUAGUUAUGCAAAAACUAUACCCAGUGGGUAGGAAGGGAAGGUAAGUGACCUAGUGAGGACCCACACCCCCUGGUGUGAAACCCAGAAGAGGAAGAAACACAACUUGGAAGUCCUCCUUAAGGAGCAAGUAGUUUUACCCCCACAUUGGACACCCCAGCCCUGGGAAACAGCCUGGGAAUCACUGGGGACUAGCUGGUUUUGAAGCCAGUGGGGCUUACAACUGGAAGAGCCAGGGAUGGAGGAAACUUGUCCUUGCACAUGUCCUUUAAGACUCUUCUCUUAAAGGACAUGUGCACAGAUAAGAGACAGCAGAAUAAAAAGUGCCUGAUGCUCUCGCUGGCCUGCCUAGACCACCCCAGAGCACCUCUCAGCCCUCAUCAAGGCUUGGCUUUAUCCUCUCUCCCCCAGCCCCACCAAGGUGGCAGCUCUGGUGAGUUCCAGGGAAAGCCCAGGAUUCUAAGGCUCCAGCUCAACUCCCUGCCAAGGCAGCAACUGCCAGUGUGCCCUGAGAGAAUUUCCAACUUGUGUCAGGCUCCAACUCUAUCCUCCUUCACCAGUUCCAGCCCACUCUCACCAAAGCUGUGGCCCUGGCACUGUCCAGAAAAAUCCUGGACCACAGUCAGUUCAGAUCCAGCUCUUCCACAAAAAGUCACUGGGCACAUGCAGAUUGCAUAGGGACUCUCCCACAUAAGAACAUGCUUUCAGGAUUGCAAUAGUUAACUGUUUCACCUAAUUUCAUAGAGACGGAGAAAGAAUCAAACAAAAUGAGAAGACAGACAGAUAUGUUACAAUCAAAAGAACAAGAUAAAAUUCUAGAAGUAAAAAACCCUAAUGCAAUGGAGAUUAGUAAUUUACCUAAUAAAGAGUAUGAAGCAAUGAUCAUGAAAAUGCUCCCCAAACCAGAGAAGAGAAUAGAGGAAUAUGGUGAGAACUUCAACAAAUAAUUAGAAAAUAUAAAAAAGAACCAGUAGGAAGAACACAAUGACUGAAGUGAAAAAUACGCUAGAAAGAAUCAAUAGCAGAUUAGGUGGUACAGGAGAAUGGAUCAAAGUCUGGAAGAAAGAAUAGUGGAAGUCACCCAAUCAGAACAAGUCAAAAG